UCCACUUUCCAGAAGCUGCUGCACACACAUCAAAGGCACCUUGAACACAUGCAGCUGGAGCAGCUCAGAAAGUUCCUGCCGCUGCAGGUACGCGGCUCUUCAGACUCCGAAGCCACGCCGGGAAGGCUGAGUCUUUCAGACACUGGUUCAGAGGAGCACCCAAGCCUCUUGUUUUGCACCCUCAUUCAUGGUGAAGGCAAUUUAGUUUAAGCCGUGAAUGAAAAGCCACCUGAGAAAACUGGAUUGGGUCUGAAGAAUUCACCUAGCUGAUAUCCAAAAAUGUACAGGGCUUUAGCAGAGCAAUCAGCGCAUACUAGCUCCCUGUGAGAAAUCAAAGGGAUGUCUGAGCACGCAGUAUUUAUGAGACUGUAACAUCUUCUCUUGUCUCGGUGGAGUGAAAUACGUUUUGGAAACACAGUUUAAGCUAAAUCAACUUCUUAAUAAAAAAUAGAAAUACACUUGGUGAAUCUUUACACUAACUCAGUAAUUGCUUAAGCCUUGUAGGAAAAGGUGUUUGUUUUAUUGAAGGCUGAGCCCUGCUUAGUUUAAGUGUCUCCACUGACUCCCAAGGUACCCACAUGAGUACAGAGAAAAGGAUUACGCCCUCAAAUGUGGUAAAUUUUAGGAAACGAAUCAAUUGCUGGAAUGACAGAGAAAACACAUACAAUGAAAGUGUUAUCACUGCAAGGGGAGAGAGAGAAUGGGCCAGAGAGAAGAGAAGGGAGAGAGUAGGAUGGGUGGGAGACAGCAUGGUAGGCUGGUGUGUAAUUCUGAUGGUGGGGUCAGGGAAUGAGUUAGGAUUUUCUUUGUUGUUAGGCUUUCAUUCACAAAAUGAAUUUUUAAGACAUCGUAUCCUGUUAGCGUGCAAAGGUAAAUAGACUUUAUGAGAUCCUUCUGCUCUGGUUGACAAUACCACACUCUCGUUUGGGAAGUGGAUUUGAUGGGGUGUGGGUGCUAAACCAUUUGGGAUUCUGCUCACCAGGACACAAAGAGAACUUUUGCUGACAAAAAGGAGGAAAAAAUAAUAAAGAAGGAGGAUGCAAUAAUAAAAUCUCUACAAAGUAUGUGGUUAUGGAAGAAUCUGCUCCAACAGAAAAAUGCUUGAAGUUACGGUAGUCAGGGAGCAGCUGGAGAGAGCAACAGACAGCGCAAGCAAGAGAGCACAUGGGAAACAACGGGAGAUGAAGCAUGAAGAGGAAAAAUCAAGUGAAAAGCAAAGAAGCCAAUGCCACUAAAACUGUCAGUUUGGAGUCAUUAUUUUGGAUUUGUCCUUCUCUUUGGCUAUUUUUUUAUUUAUCCCUAGCCAGAGUCCAGGCAUUCAGCUUUACUUAUUUGUGUAAUCUGCCUUUGCUUGUCUGUUGGUAUUUCUGAAUAAGACGUGUACAGGGAUGAGACAGGAGUGCAGGCUGGGAUAAAGUGCUUUUGUUUUCCUGUAAAAUACCUAUUUUAAUGCCGUGCAGCCAAAAAAUAAACUUGGUGUCAGGCAAACUGGAUUGAGGAAGAAAAUAUUAAAGGACAAUAUUUUAUUGAUCAAGUUAAGCUUAACAAUAUCAGGAGAAAUUAUAACUAGCUUGGCAUUGGUCUGCAAUUCUGCAGUCUCAUGUACCUCUUCACAAAUUAGUGCCAAAUGAAAUGAAGAAAGGUUGAAGGGUUAGCGCAGGGAUAUCUGAGUAUGACAGAAAUUGUUUGCAGGCUUCCACUGAUGUGUUGCCCAUCAGUAAUUUCACUUUCCCUAAUCAGUGGGAAUAGAAUUAUUGGCUACAAGUGGUUUAACAC